GCUGCUGAAAGGAAGGACUAUGG
rnacentral:piRNA from 1 species